CCAGGUUGCCCAGGACAAGGCAUGUCCAACAUAUGCCUAUAAGACAAAUGUGAAAACAUCAAGUUACAGAAGCUAGAUGUGCAUUUACUACACUGGGAUUCAUGGUUCAGCGAAGACAAGCUAUUAGUUGGCUCAAGAAGGAGAGCUUCCUCGAUGUCAACAAUGCAAGAUUUGUGCUGCGGGCAAUUGGAGUAGAAUCAGCUUCCUGAGAGCCAAGUUCUUUGACUUCCCCUAGAAGGAAAGGGUAUGGAACCAAGCAUAUGGGAAGGCUCUCUAGGCCCUUUUACAUUAUUGGAUUUAGCUACGCUCACAUAAUGAAAUUGUUGAGAUUGUUUAAACCUUCUGCAGGGACUUCUGUUAGCAGAAAAGAAACUUGUACUAAAGCCAUAAGAAGAUUGUAUUAUAGAUAUAAUGGAAUCUUUUUUAUCUUUUGCCUGGUUUUCUGCACAGGACUGACAUAUUUUUCUGGGCAUGAAGCCAAAGGUCUAUUUAAUUUCUACUUAAAAUUUCCCAUGGCCACUAAUACUCUCCCCCUAGAUAGCUGCUUUAUAAAUGAAUAAAUAAAGACAAAGCCACUAGAAAGGUUGUGAAUCCUUGUAAGCUUUUUUUUUUUAAGGUGGCUAUUUUGCACUCCAAUAACAUCUAUAAAAAGCGUGUUCCUGAAUCUUUAGGACAAUGCUUCACUGCUAUCAAUCAAACUUCCGUAAAAUAUUGAACUUAUCUUUGUCCUAAGACCACAGCCAUGAUUAAAUAAGACUUGAAUAUAAAAAUGCAGGUUUACUUGCAUCAGAUGAGUUCUCGUGAACAUAUGAGGUUAUAUCACUCCUAUUUUUACUGCAUUUAGGAUUUUUGAGUGGUAAUAAUGUUUUUCAAUUUAAAACUGACUUAUUUUUAUUUUUCUAGGAGGUUUUUGCCAAUUAGGUGACAGGUUUUUUUUGUUUGUUGUUUUGUUUUUGUUUUUGUUUUUGAGAGAGAGAGAGAGCAAGAGUGAGAGAGAGAUUGAAGUCGGGGAGAGAACCCAGAUGUUAGAAACUGGCCCAAGCAGUCAGCUUCUCAUAAAGGACCAUCCUGACAGUUUGACUGUAAAAAAGGCACCCCAUUGAGCACUACAUGUUCCAGGAAAUGGCUGGCCACGGAAAACCUUCUGUUCCUAGCAUUCAUUUCCAGAAUGUCCCCAGACUGCUUGUUUGCUCCCUCCCAGCCAACAAAGGGCAGUCAAAUGUACCUGAAGAUCAAUUAGAAAGUCACCCUGGCUUCCAGAAAUCUCACCUUUAUAGAAC
rnacentral:lncRNA from 1 species